CCUACGGGAGGCAGCAGUAGGGAAUCUUCCACAAUGGGCGAAAGCCUGAUGGAGCACCGCCGCGUGGGUGAAGAAGGUCUUCGGAUCGUAAAACCCUGUUGUUAGAGAAGAAAGUGCGUGAGAUUAACUGUUCACGUUUCGACGGUAUCUAACCAGAAAGCCACGGCGACCUACGUGCCAGCAGCCGCGGUCAUACGUAGGUGGCAAGCGUUAUCCGGAUUUAUUGGGCGUAAAGGGAACGCAGGCGGUCUGUUAAGUCUGAUGUGAAAGCCUUCGGCUUAACCGGAGUAGUGCAUUGGAAACUGGGAGACGUGAGUGCAGAAGAGGAGAGGGGAACUCCAUGUGUAGCGGUGAAAUGCGUAGAUAUAUGGAAGAACACCAGUGGCGAAAGCGGCUCUCUGGUCUGUAACUGACGCUGAGGUUCGAAAGCGUGGGUAGCAAACAGGAUUAGAUACCCUGGUAGUC
rnacentral:rRNA from 1 species